rnacentral:rRNA from 1 species
AGAGUUUGAUCAUGGCUCAGGACGAACGCUGGCGGCGUGCUUAACACAUGCAAGUCGAACGGAAAGGCCCUUCGGGGUACUCGAGUGGCGAACGGGUGAGUAACACGUGGGUGAUCUGCCCUGCACUCUGGGAUAAGCCUGGGAAACUGGGUCUAAUACCGGAUAGGACCGCAUGCUUCAUGGUGUGUGGUGCAAAGCUUUUGCGGUGUGGGAUGAGCCCGCGGCCUAUCAGCUUGUUGGUGGGGUAAUGGCCUACCAAGGCGACGACGGGUAGCCGGCCUGAGAGGGUGACCGGCCACACUGGGACUGAGAUACGGCCCAGACUCCUACGGGAGGCAGCAGUGGGGAAUAUUGCACAAUGGGCGCAAGCCUGAUGCAGCGACGCCGCGUGAGGGAUGACGGCCUUCGGGUUGUAAACCUCUUUCAGUAGGGACGAAGCGAAAGUGACGGUACCUACAGAAGAAGGACCGGCCAACUACGUGCCAGCAGCCGCGGUAAUACGUAGGGUCCGAGCGUUGUCCGGAAUUACUGGGCGUAAAGAGCUCGUAGGUGGUUUGUCGCGUUGUUCGUGAAAACUCACAGCUUUACUGUGGGCGUGCGGGCGAUACGGGCAGACUAGAGUACUGCAGGGGAGACUGGAAUUCCUGGUGUAGCGGUGGAAUGCGCAGAUAUCAGGAGGAACACCGGUGGCGAAGGCGGGUCUCUGGGCAGUAACUGACGCUGAGGAGCGAAAGCGUGGGUAGCGAACAGGAUUAGAUACCCCGGUAGUCCAA